GAGUUCAAUCAAAUCAAAAUUAUUAUGUUCCAUGAGUCAUCGGUUAAUUUUGUUGAUCUGAGCAAAGACUCUAUAGAGUCUUUGAUCUGAGUACCGCUCGGCGUACGCCAGCCAAUAUAUUUUGCAUGCCAGUAUUUGAAAUUAAGACCACUGGCAUAGAGUGUGAGGUCACUCUUUGCAAAUUUUCACUAAAGUUUCAAUUUUUGAAUGAUUCCAUCACCUAUUUUGCCACUGGGCCUCAUUUCUGGGCAUUGGACCAGACCACUCUUGAAAACAGCAACGAAGCUAUAAUUAAAAUGUUAAGUUUGCUGUUGGAUUUACAUGGUAAUCAAACCCAAGUCCACGACGCUAUAUUUUUAGCUACGAGUUCAUCGACACCUGCUCCUGAAUCUGCUAUCGAAAUUUUUCUUGAGGUUCUUAAACAUUUAAUUUCUGAGACCGACAAUCCCGAACGCCUGGCCUUCGUGUACAACAAGCUAAUGCAUUUUAAGCAAACGGACAGUGUGGACCUUGCUGAACUUAUGGCCUUAUUUGG